GACGAACGCUGGCGGCGUGCUUAACACAUGCAAGUCGAACGAAGUGGCGAACGGGUGAGUAACGCGUAAUCAACCUGCCCUUCAGAGGGGGAAAACAGUUGGAAACGACUGCUAAUCCCGCAAACUGAAGGAGGGGCUUGCGUCUGAUUGGCUAGGUGGAGGGGUAACGGCCCACCAAGGCGAUGAUCAGUAGCCGGUCUGAGAGGAGGAACGGCCAAAUGGGGACUGAGACACGGCCCAGACUCCGACGGGAGGCAGCAGUGGGGAAUCUUCCGAAAUGGACGAAAGGCUGACGGAGCAACGCCGCGUGAGGGAUGACGGCCUUCGGGUGGGAAAGCUCUGUUAAUCGGGACGCGGUACCGGAAUAGAAAGCCACGGCUAACUACGUGCCAGCAGCCGCGGUAAUAC
rnacentral:rRNA from 1 species